UACGGAGGGUGCAAGCGUUAUCCGGAAUCACUGGGUUUAAAGGGUGCGUAGGCGGCUAUGUAAGUCAGUUGUGAAAUACCUCGGCUUAACCGAAGGAAGUGCGAUUGACACUGCGUAGCUUGAAUCAGGUUGAGGUAGGCGGAAUGUGACAUGUAGCGGUGAAAUGCUUAGAUAUGUCAUAGAACACCGAUUGCGAAGGCAGCUUACUGGGCUUUGAUUGACGCUGAGGCACGAAAGCGUGGGGAGCAAACAGG
rnacentral:rRNA from 1 species